AGCUUUCCGAGUGUGUGCAGAGAUUUUGUCAAACACCAGCCCAUUAGGGCUGAUCAGACUUCCAAAAUAAGCAAAGUU
rnacentral:pre_miRNA from 1 species